CCCUAAGAUUUACCUGGGGGUGCUGCCUAUACAUGCAGCACCCCCAGGUUAAUCUUAGGAGUGCUGAUCAAAGCACCCCUAAGAUUUACCUGGGGGUGCUGCAUAUACAUGCAGCACCCCCAAGUUAAUCUUAGGAUCAAAG